GAAAACAAUCCUGGAAGACCAGUGUAAUGCCCUGAGUUCUCACAAAACAGCUAAAGAAGCAGAAUUGAACCUGCUAAAGAAGAAAUUGGAUAUGGUGGUGGAGUUCUCUGAAAACCGAAAACUGACUGCAGAAGAGAAGCUAGAAGAGACACUGUAUGAAUUGAAUGCAACUAAGAAUGAGCUGUUAGCUGCCGAUAAAUAUCUGAAAGUAACUGAAGAAGAAAUGGAGAAGUACAGACAAGAAGUGGAAGAAAUGCGAGAAGAGCUGCAG